UCCGACCGAACUUAGCACGUAAUGAACGUUAUACCUUCUCUCGUAUUCCGAUAGCCAUGCCAUGUAAGCGGCCCCGAAAUACAUGGACAGAAAUGGUUUGGUCAUAUCAGCAGCCGAAUCGACUCUGUAUGCCCGGUAGCCCAACUCCCUGUAUGAAUUCACGCAUUAGAUUUGAGAAUGAUUCCAAUUCCUAUACUGUCAAUGACCAAAGGCCUAGUAAGUGUCCGUACGUGUAAAGCCAAAAGGCGGUAGAGUAGUCGAUGCCCAUUAUUCCAGUUCGAUGUCCGAUCCCAUUGAGGAAACGCAUACUAACCAUCUCAGCCAGCGCGCAGAGGACUGACUGUACAAGCCAAAGAUAACGAAGAUCAGUUCAUCCCGGCUUCGUUUCCCAAAAAUCUGUUUACAAACAUUUUGAGUGUUCACUUACUGGCCUAACUCCUCUGGUGCUGAAAUGCUUCGAGAGAAUUAUGCUUGCAACUGCCUGCACAAAGAAAUUUCACAACAAAUAUAAUGCAUACAUCCAUAGACAUAAUGUAGUACUCCUACUUGUGUUGCGACUUUAGAAAGAAGAGAGAGCUCGAAGUUCUUUUCGAUGUGUUAAACUUUACCUUGGUCUCUAUUUGGGACAAAUAUGGUCUGUGUUCCUUGUCAUGCGAGAAACGUACUUUUCCACGCCUUUCCCCUGAUUUCGUCCAUUCUCUAGCAACGUCAUGCUGAUUCCACAUCUCUGCCAUAUCCUCAGGAGAAGAUCUAGAGUCCCAGUGCAGAUGAUCACCGUCUGUUCUUUCAACACAAAACAACUACUGAAUAAGGUGGAAGAAAACUAAGAGCUACUAUUUUCAAACACAUUGUCAUAAAACACACAGUAACGAUGAAGCAAGGUUGGAAAUGUAGUAAAAAAGUAUAACCUGAGCUUUGUGAAGAAGAUGAAUGAGAAGCAGAUGCUGAUGGCCUAGGUGAAGUACAAUCAGUAUUUCCAGAGGUCCCUUCGUUUGAAAAUCGUCUUCAAAAACAAAGAGAGCAAUGAAAUCUGAGAAGUUUGAUGAAAAUCAAGUUUUUCUAUCACUAUAUUAGCUAGGGAGAGCAGCAAACAACCAACCACCUGGAAGGAAGACUUUCUUUAACUGAGAGGUACCGUUUCCAGUAUUGCAAAGUUGAUUUAUGUGUUGCCUUUUUGGUGCCACCAUGGUAAGCCCUAACAAUGAACUCUUCACUUCUUUCUCUGCAGCAGCAUUAACAUAAAUCAACAUUGCUGAGGAAUUGGAUGAGGAUACAAACAGCGGAAGGAACCAUAGGGAGAUUCAUCCAUCACAUGCUUACUUGUGCUCGAAGUUGGACAGCCAUUUCAAAUAUGCAGCACCGAAAUAUACACUCACAAAAGGCUUAUAGAGAAUGUCUGGAUUAUCUCCAAGUACGUAAAUCCGGUAGCCAAAAUCUCUAUAAACAGUCAAAGCGUUCUUAAUCAGUGCCAUAUACUGAAAAGAGAGACUGAAAAACCUAUUUGUAUGAUGGUAUACCUCUCCAACCACUGAGCAGUUUUUGGGAAAAUUUGCAUUAUUCCUACAGUGAUCUCCUUAGAUUUCUUAUGAAAGUGCCUAGAGAGAAGCUGCCUGUCGCUUGCAAGUUCAGCAAUAGCACAUAUCAUAUCCUGCAGAAACAUUAAGGAAUAUUACAGCAUUUGUGAGCACACAAUGAGAGCCGGAUGCCAGCCUGUUGAAAUUUCAUUUGAAUGAUUGCCGUACUGGAGAUAUCUGUGAACCGAAGUGCCUACGGACGAUGAUAUCAGCUACUGCCUGAAGGAACACGGCUCAAGAUUCAAGAACAUUAGAUUCUGGAAGAGAGCGAUGGCAGAAAAAAUCAUUAUCAGGUGAAGUUUGGUUCUGAGAGGGAUGGACCUUCAUCUCUGUUUGAGUUAAAUAGGUCUGGCCGUCGGGAUCACGUGAAAUGUGAAUUUUCUGACCGCGAGUCUCGCCGGCGUCCAGCCAUUCAGUGCUGACAGCAGGUUCCCUCCACAUCGCCUCCAAGUCAUUGGGAUCAACACAAUCAUCCCAGUACUUGAAGCUAACCGACAUUUUGCUGAUCCUAGAGAGCGUUACAAGUACCAGCCAUUUACUACAUCAAUCAAAAUUUCAAAAUCCAAACAGAAAAUAGCAACCAGAUCGUAACAAAAAUGAGAAUCCAUCAACGAAUUGGCAGGAACAACGAAUAACAGAUUGAUAUUAAAAAAUCAUGCGUACCCAAUUGAGAUUGCCUAGGAAGAAUUCGAAAAUGCGAUCCGUUAUCUCCUGAUGUCUCCUCUUGUCCGACGAGAAUUGGCUGGGUGGCGAUGACCUUUGGUUGAAUGAUAAAACGGAGGGAAGGGAGAAUGAAAUGGGAGCGGGAAAAGCGGAGGGUAGAGUGGAUUGAGAGGUGAAAAGAAUGAAGAAUGGAAGAGGCUGAGAGAAAAGACGGAAGGUGGACCGUUGUUGACGGGAGAUUAUUAACGUCUGGGACACUGGGCAGGCAGUUGCAGCUCCGGCCUGGUUCUCGCCGGCGUCUCCUUUGCCCCGUUGGUUCAUAUGGACGGACCAACUUGCUGCAGCGGGAAAAUGUGGGACCGGAAUAUUCAAAUAGGCUUUCAUUCAGCCUAUUACCUUUUGUUUAGGGGCCAACGAUGAUUUUUGUGUAAGGUUUGGAGUUUGGAUGGACCUUUUGAUUUUGCUAUUGCAACCCAUUUGACAGUACAGACUAUGAGUAAGUGAUAUGCUAAUAGCAAUGCUACAAUUGAUGAUCAAUGAUAGAAAUUAACAAGGCUAAUUAAUUAGAUAUUGAUUAUGAUGAUUCUGAUUAACCUAACAGUCUCGAGGCCUGGAAACUUCGGAGUCGAACUUGUUGUUGUUGAUGGCGCACCAAGCCAUAAAGAGCACAACCACCAUGAACACCACGAAGCAGAGAAGAGCCACUCCCGCCGCCCUGCAUUGCUUCCUCACUUCGCCCAGGAAACCGGUCUUGCAUCUCUCGCAGUUGUAUCACAUCUUCUUCGGGUCGGAGAUCCAUUUCCCGCACUCUCCGUUACCGGGAGCACCCUGCUUUUCUUUGUUCCCUGUCGCCCCCAUCGUCGCGUUGGCAUUCUCCGGUGUGCAUCCCGGCGGCGGUUUGCAGCAGCCUACCUGUUUUGUUCCCCCGUCGCCAAAAUAUGAAAUAUUUGAACAAUUAGUGACAGUUUAAGCUGUCGCUAAAGGAUUACUUGAUAGACAAGCAUUUUUCAAUUAAUUAAUGGAUUAUAUUGCGUGCCAUGUGUAGGCUUGGCAAUGGGUCGGUUACAGGGCGGUUACACCCUAACCGUUGCCCGUUAAAUUUGCCCACGGUUUUACCCAUAACCGCCCCAUUAUGCCUAAUGGGUAAAAUUUUGUUACCAAAUCCAUUUUGAUAUGGAUUUCGGUUAAACCCGUGGAUAUCGGGUUUGUCCAACAAAUUGUCAAAAUCUGAAAAUUAAAAAAUCUCAAAUGAAAACCUGGCAAUAAAUAUCAUCAUUCAUCCCAUUGACCAAUUCCCAGUCUCAUACUGUAUUUACGAGUUCAGUUGAGGGUUUAGCAGUUUAUUAAGGGCUUACUUAAAAGUUUAGUAAUGCUUAACAGUUUAUUAAGGGUUUAACAAAUUUAGUUAUAGAGUUUAGGGUUUACGAGUUCAGUUGAGGGUUUAGCAGUUUAUUAAGGGCUUACUUAAAAGUUUAGUAAUGCUUAACAGUUUAUUAAGGGUUUAACAAAUUUAGUUAUAGAGUUUAGGGUUUACGAGUUCAGUUGAGGGUUUAGCAGUUUAUUAAGGGCUUACUUAAAAGUUUAGUAAUGCUUAACAGUUUAUUAAGGGUUUAACAAAUUUAGUUAUAGAGUUUAGGGUUUACGAGUUCAGUUGAGGGUUUAGCAGUUUAUUAAGGGCUUACUUAAAAGUUUAGUAAUGCUUAACAGUUUAUUAAGGGUUUAACAAAUUUAGUUAUAGAGUUUAGGGUUUACGAGUUCAGUUGAGGGUUUAGCAGUUUAUUAAGGGCUUACUUAAAAGUUUAGUAAUGCUUAACAGUUUAUUAAGGGUUUAACAAAUUUAGUUAUAGAGUUUAGGGUUUACGAGUUCAGUUGAGGGUUUAGCAGUUUAUUAAGGGCUUACUUAAAAGUUUAGUAAUGCUUAACAGUUUAUUAAGGGUUUAACAAAUUUAGUUAUAGAGUUUAGGGUUUACGAGUUCAGUUGAGGGUUUAGCAGUUUAUUAAGGGCUUACUUAAAAGUUUAGUAAUGCUUAACAGUUUAUUAAGGGUUUAACAAAUUUAGUUAUAGAGUUUAGGGUUUACGAGUUCAGUUGAGGGUUUAGCAGUUUAUUAAGGGCUUACUUAAAAGUUUAGUAAUGCUUAACAGUUUAUUAAGGGUUUAACAAAUUUAGUUAUAGAGUUUAGGGUUUACGAGUUCAGUUGAGGGUUUAGCAGUUUAUUAAGGGCUUACUUAAAAGUUUAGUAAUGCUUAACAGUUUAUUAAGGGUUUAACAAAUUUAGUUAUAGAGUUUAGGGUUUACGAGUUCAGUUGAGGGUUUAGCAGUUUAUUAAGGGCUUACUUAAAAGUUUAGUAAUGCUUAACAGUUUAUUAAGGGUUUAACAAAUUUAGUUAUAGAGUUUAGGGUUUACGAGUUCAGUUGAGGGUUUAGCAGUUUAUUAAGGGCUUACUUAAAAGUUUAGUAAUGCUUAACAGUUUAUUAAGGGUUUAACAAAUUUAGUUAUAGAGUUUAGGGUUUACGAGUUCAGUUGAGGGUUUAGCAGUUUAUUAAGGGCUUACUUAAAAGUUUAGUAAUGCUUAACAGUUUAUUAAGGGUUUAACAAAUUUAGUUAUAGAGUUUAGGGUUUACGAGUUCAGUUGAGGGUUUAGCAGUUUAUUAAGGGCUUACUUAAAAGUUUAGUAAUGCUUAACAGUUUAUUAAGGGUUUAACAAAUUUAGUUAUAGAGUUUAGGGUUUACGAGUUCAGUUGAGGGUUUAGCAGUUUAUUAAGGGCUUACUUAAAAGUUUAGUAAUGCUUAACAGUUUAUUAAGGGUUUAACAAAUUUAGUUAUAGAGUUUAGGGUUUACGAGUUCAGUUGAGGGUUUAGCAGUUUAUUAAGGGCUUACUUAAAAGUUUAGUAAUGCUUAACAGUUUAUUAAGGGUUUAACAAAUUUAGUUAUAGAGUUUAGGGUUUACGAGUUCAGUUGAGGGUUUAGCAGUUUAUUAAGGGCUUACUUAAAAGUUUAGUAAUGCUUAACAGUUUAUUAAGGGUUUAACAAAUUUAGUUAUAGAGUUUAGGGUUUACGAGUUCAGUUGAGGGUUUAGCAGUUUAUUAAGGGCUUACUUAAAAGUUUAGUAAUGCUUAACAGUUUAUUAAGGGUUUAACAAAUUUAGUUAUAGAGUUUAGGGUUUACGAGUUCAGUUGAGGGUUUAGCAGUUUAUUAAGGGCUUACUUAAAAGUUUAGUAAUGCUUAACAGUUUAUUAAGGGUUUAACAAAUUUAGUUAUAGAGUUUAGGGUUUACGAGUUCAGUUGAGGGUUUAGCAGUUUAUUAAGGGCUUACUUAAAAGUUUAGUAAUGCUUAACAGUUUAUUAAGGGUUUAACAAAUUUAGUUAUAGAGUUUAGGGUUUACGAGUUCAGUUGAGGGUUUAGCAGUUUAUUAAGGGCUUACUUAAAAGUUUAGUAAUGCUUAACAGUUUAUUAAGGGUUUAACAAAUUUAGUUAUAGAGUUUAGGGUUUACGAGUUCAGUUGAGGGUUUAGCAGUUUAUUAAGGGCUUACUUAAAAGUUUAGUAAUGCUUAACAGUUUAUUAAGGGUUUAACAAAUUUAGUUAUAGAGUUUAGGGUUUACGAGUUCAGUUGAGGGUUUAGCAGUUUAUUAAGGGCUUACUUAAAAGUUUAGUAAUGCUUAACAGUUUAUUAAGGGUUUAACAAAUUUAGUUAUAGAGUUUAGGGUUUACGAGUUCAGUUGAGGGUUUAGCAGUUUAUUAAGGGCUUACUUAAAAGUUUAGUAAUGCUUAACAGUUUAUUAAGGGUUUAACAAAUUUAGUUAUAGAGUUUAGGGUUUACGAGUUCAGUUGAGGGUUUAGCAGUUUAUUAAGGGCUUACUUAAAAGUUUAGUAAUGCUUAACAGUUUAUUAAGGGUUUAACAAAUUUAGUUAUAGAGUUUAGGGUUUACGAGUUCAGUUGAGGGUUUAGCAGUUUAUUAAGGGCUUACUUAACAGUUUAGUAAUGCUUAACAGUUUAUUAAGGGUUUAACAAAUUUAGUUAUAGAGUUUAGGGUUUACGAGUUCAGUUGAGGGUUUAAUAGUUUAUUAAGGGCUUACUUAACAGUUUAGUAAUGCUUAACAGUUUAUUAAGGGUUUAACAAAUUUAGUUAUAGAGUUUAGGGUUUACGAGUUCAGUUGAGGGUUUAAUAGUUUAUUAAGGGCUUACUUAACAGUUUAGUAAUGCUUAACAGUUUAUUAAGGGUUUAACAAAUUUAGUUAUAGAGUUUAGGGUUUACGAGUUCAGUUGAGGGUUUAAUAGUUUAUUAAGGGCUUACUUAACAGUUUAGUAAUGCUUAACAGUUUAUUAAGGGUUUAACAAAUUUAGUUAUAGAGUUUAGGGUUUACGAGUUCAGUUGAGGGUUUAAUAGUUUAUUAAGGGCUUACUUAACAGUUUAGUAAUGCUUAACAGUUUAUUAAGGGUUUAACAAAUUUAGUUAUAGAGUUUAGGGUUUACGAGUUCAGUUGAGGGUUUAAUAGUUUAUUAAGGGCUUACUUAACAGUUUAGUAAUGCUUAACAGUUUAUUAAGGGUUUAACAAAUUUAGUUAUAGAGUUUAGGGUUUACGAGUUCAGUUGAGGGUUUAAUAGUUUACUAUCAGAAUUCAUAAAGAAGAUAGAUUAUUAAGGGUACUAUUAGAAAGUAGACAGCCUAUUAAGGGGUUAACUUUAACAGUUUAUAAGGGUUUAACAAUUAGGUAGAGAGUUCAUGGGUUAUGAGUUCAAUUGAAGACAGUAUAAACUUGGUUCAGGCUGUUAACAAUCUAACAUAACACUUCUAAGUUCUAAACAAGUUCUAAAACUCUCAAAUGUUAUACCAUUACACAAUGUAAGCUUACCUCAGCAGUUGUAGAAACAGAUUGUUGUCUUGCCUCCUGAACAACGAUUUCAAAGUUCCACCCUGCCUCCUAAUUAGCACCAACUGUGUGACUUCCUCCUAAGCAGAAACAUACAUUUUAUUAUAAUACUGUACUUACAACAUUGCUAUGAAUCAAAGGAAAAACAACCACAAACCCUAUACUUAAACGUACCUAAACAGCGGAAUGAAACCAAUUUUGGCCCUGAUUCUAUAACUCUCUAGUCCAGAGCAGUAAUCUGAAACAUAUAACACUGCAAAUCAGAUUUUUCACAUAAUAACAGACACAAAACAUUCAAAGAGUCACAAAAGCCACAAACACAUUCACAAAAGCCACAAACACAUAAUAACAGAUAACUUACUGGUAUGAAAUGAAUCGGAAGGAAAAAUCCCAAAUUUGAUAAAUUAGGGUUUCUGUCUUCUGGAUUUUGUUCGACGAACUGCAUAUGAAGCAAUAAACCCAAAAAUUAGUAUACAAUUUAUACAUGCAGGGAUAAACAAAAAUAAGGAAUGGCAGAAUAAAAAACUUAUCUCGAUUUGGGGAAGGAAUCCUUUGCAUGCACGAUUCGAACCAGAUUUUUGCGGAUUGAAGGAGUUUUGUAGUUGAAUAUGGGUAGGUGAUGAUUAUAGUGGGGAUGGAUUCGAUGAAUAUCAACAGAAAAGGAAGAUUUGGGAGAAAAAUUAGGGUUUCAGUGGAGUUCUUUCGAGAGGAAGUCGGGAGAAAAUUCUGGAGAGAGGCUCAGAGGCGUGAAAAAAUGGCUGAAAUGAAACCCUAGUCUGAAAAUUUUGCUUUUAUACCCUAUAUCAAUACUACGUCGUUUUAACUCACGGAUUGGAUAUGGGUCGGAUAAGUUAUUAUCCGUAUCCGCCCAUUACCCGAAACUCGCGGGUCACGGGCCUGACCGAAACCGGUAAACAUCCAUCGGGCCCAGACUUUCGGGCUGUAUUCGCGGGCGGGCUCCACUGGGUAACCUAAACCCGUGGGCUGACUGCCAAGCCUAGCCAUGUGUCGCCUUUAAAUUGGCCGUUAUACCAAUUUUAGUUUACUUUUGAAAAUUAAUACCUUGAACCCUCUAUCUAGACAAUCUAAUUAAAUUCACUAUAUGAUAAAAAUCUCGAAAAGAAAUCACGGUUAAACCGAAACACUAUACUUAAAACCUUCCACAUCUCAAGACCUACCCACACACACAAGUAUUACAACACCAAUUUGAAAAAAUACAUGACAUUCGAUACAUUUUACUUCAUAAAUGUACACAUGAUUAUAGUUUCAGACCCUAAUGAGUUAUCCAUCAUCUACAAAAAUUCGACUCUCACAUUAUUCUCCACCACCAUGUACAAAUGCAAAACCGAACUCAAAUGUCUAACCAAUUUGUAUCACCAUCAAAAAAUAUUGUAUAAAAAGGUAUAAAAGAAGUAAGAAAAGCUCAUGAGCUUAAUUACCAGUAAAUGAGCCAAAACGUCAACAAUUUUCUCCAAUUUUUCUAAUCUAUAGCUUUGGUGUUCCACGCCGUUUGUUAACUCUGUUAGUAAAUACAGAUUCUUCUUCAACUAUUAAUUAGCAUUUUACUCCAACGUUAAUCAACUAAUUUCAAUACAAAACUCCACUCCCAAAAAUUAAUUUCGAAGGUAAACUUUUAUUUUACCGAGUUGAAGGUAAAAUUUAAUUAUUAACCUGUGAAAAGAAUUUGCUUAGUAAUUCUUGUAUGCCACCCAUCACUUUCGUCGCCGUCCUUAAAGCUUCCUCGAUCGAUCCCUUUGGAUUUUUCGAAUUAUUGAAACUUUUAUUAUAAAAAUGUACAAAGAAUAUAUAAAAACCUUGAUUAUUAUUAUUAUCCAAUUAAAAAUUGUUAAGUCUACCUUCUCAGAAGCAGGACCGAGUUUCCGAGUCACCCGAUUGACUGCCUCAACGUUCUUCCUUUCCGUUUUCUACCACUCGAUCGGUAGAGUUAGUUGCCAACUCAUUAUCCGACUCAGCUUCUCCUCUACCUUCAUCCUCUGAAUCUCCAUUACCCUUUUCCUCUUCUGCCAAAUCGUAAGCCACGCGUGGAUCAGCUUCGCACGUGUGGCAAGCUCCCUCACAUUUGCAGCUGCUUCUGCCUUCGCGUUCGCGAAUCUUCACUGGAUUAACGUACCGUUCACAACUUCGAAAUUCCGCCGCCGCCGCUCCCCUCGCCGACGCAGCUACUCGAUCCGCGCUCACUCCUUCCCUCCCUCCCUUGUCUUUGGAGACUUAAUAAGCCACUACAAAUAUUAAUUACUGAAAUUUCCUGUGAUAAAUUCAUCUUGUCGUCGUAAAAACUAAUCAAAACCUUAUUUAAUUAAACUCUUUUUUGUAAUUGUAUUAAUGUCUAGUUGAAAGCCAGGUAUAAUAUAAUUAUUUUACAAAAAAGGUAUAUUAUAAUUAACUUCAUUACAAAAAAUAAUCAUAGCUGAAAUUUGAUUUAAUUAAUUAAAUUAAAUUACACAUGAUGCAAAAGAAGUAAACCCUAACCCCUAGCGCACGUCAAUCACUCCGACGAUGACUUCUUGCUACCUUCCUUCUUCCUCACGCAACAUAUAACGUAGUCCUCGAUACCACCACCACACCUGUCCGCCAAAACCCUACCAAGACGAUACUCAUGCAUCACCCAUUCCCCAGCCUCCGAAGAAGAACUCGAACUCGAACCACCACCGUGAUUGAUGACCUUGUAAGAGAAAGACCUAUCGAAACCGAUGGUGGUGGACUCACCGUCGGUGCUGUAGACUAUAGGCUCCUCCUUCUGCGACUUCCACACGCAGUUUCCGAAGCUCCUCUCGACUCGCUUGCCCUUCUCGUUCUUCUUCUUCCGCUUGGUAAAGAAGUAGAGCUCCGACUCGUUGACCUCGUCCUUGAAGUGUCUCUUCCAUGGCUCGUCGGGGGAGUAGAGGUCGCACUCGAUUAUACCGUCAAAGGGCGGAGGAGGGUGGUUGGGGUUGACGGUGGCUCUGAUGGCUAACGGGUAGAGGUAUGUGAGGAUUAGUUCUUGGUCCGAUGGUUUGAAUCGGUACCCUACUGCUAGGUUCUUGAUCUUCAUUCUUGCAGCAAGAUGCAAAUCAAGUAACUAGUUGAUUACUAGUGAUUAAUUAGGGAGAGUGAAGGUUUAGCUUAGGUUAAUUAGUGUGUUAGUUAUAUAUAGGGGUGCUAAUUAACUAGUAUUUGAUUAGGACUAGGACACGUGUAGACAUUUCAUUACUUGCUGGGUAAUCAAAUAACUAAUUUCCUUCACGUACGUACGCUGUACGAUAUGUAUUUUUAUUUGAGUGCGCAUUAUUUAUAAAUGGAUAACUUUUGAAAAAAUAAUUCAAAAAUACAACUUAAUUAGCAUAUCUUACUCAGAAUGGUGAUUAGUGUCUUUUGAACUACAUCUUAAUUUAGAUUAAUGAGNNNNNNNNNNNNNNNNNNNNNNNNNNNNNNNNNNNNNNNNNNNNNNNNNNNNNNNNNNNNNNNNNNNNNNNNNNNNNNNNNNNNNNNNNNNNNNNNNNNNNNNNNNNNNNNNNNNNNNNNNNNNNNAGUUAAAAUGAAGUAAACUAGUGGAUCCAAAAAAUUUAAAAAUAAAUAAAUAACGGAGAAUUACCAUUUUCUUCUCCGUGAGAUUACGACAUUUAUAAUAGUUAGAGUGAUUUAAAAAAAACGUAGGCCGGCGAAUAGUACGCCUCGGGAUGAGCGGGGGAGAAGAAAAUGACAAUUCUCCGUUAUUUAUUUAUUUUUUACUUUUCAAGAUCCACUAGUUUACGUCAUUUUAACUUGGCGACGUGCUAGAUCUUAAAAAACCUACAAUAAUAGAUAAGUGUAUGUAAAAUACUACUAUAAUGGCAUCUUAUGCAGAAUCUUAAAUAUAAUGAAAUUCGGUGCAAUAACGCAAGACUGUAGUAGCAUGUGCCGCAUUUUACUCAUGAACUUUCAUAAUUUCAUUUGUCUUACUUAUGGAUAUUUAUGUCAUUUUUAUUUCAAUUUUUAAUUUAAUUAUUUUUCAAAUUAAAAUCUCUCUAAAUCAACCAUCCAAAACAAUUUAUUUUUCAAAAUAACACGAGUUUCAAAUUCCGUAAUAAUUUAGAAGGAAGACGAGGUGGUUAAAUAGGAGGGGAGGAGAUGAAAAUAGAAGGAGAAAAUUCAAUGGAGAGUGGCAGAGCCAUUGACAAUUGGAGGCAUGUGGUCAAAUGGAAACAUAGCGCGGUCUACAUUGUUCAAAAAAGAUGAGAGCCACGUAUAUUUUUGCGUGGGUAACUUCUCAAAGUGGAAUAUUGAUUGAGUUCGUGCACUAUAUUUAAAGGAGGAAGACGAAAGUAGAACGAGAAAGGCUGAUGAGAGUGCAUGCCCCAUUGAUCAUUAGAGGCAUGUAUCUAUGUGCUCAAAUGAAAUCUAGCGAGGUCUAUAUUGUUCGUAACGAGUGGAAAUGUAGGGGAUUCAACUCUGUACUUUUCGCAUGUAAAACGAAAUGCUCUAUUAUUUAAAGCUUAAUUUAAAAUAAACGAAAAUCAAUUUGAGGAUUUAUAAAGAUCGUUAUUGAAAAAAUAUGACGAUAGAUAUCAUAUUAUUAUUAUUAUUUACGUAAUUAAUAGUUAUCUCAUGGGGAAUUAAUUAUUAUCAUAUACAUUAUACGGAGAGAGAGUAAAGUAGGGUUCAUGAGGCUCUUGCGUUACAUUUAUUAAACUCCCUCCCCCCUUCCGCCCAACAACUCACCCUCCCCCCCCUCACACCAACUCCUCCCCAUUCUCUACAUCACUCUUCCUUUUUCUUUCUUUCCAUCUCAGAAAAACAAAACAAAAAAUCUUCCGCCGCUAUCAACGACGACGAUGGAGAAUACCACAUCACAUUCAACACCGACGAUGUUGAUCAUGGCCGCCGCCGCCCUCCUCUUGUUUCUUUCCUUCUUCUUGUCCGCCGUCGAAUCCUCAUCGUCGCUAUCAGCUUCUAGUAAUAAACCUACUACAUCACCACCACCACCGGUCCGCCGCCAGCUCUCCGCAACAACCGCCGCGGAUUCUUCCUGCAGCACCGCUGUGUGCAUGGAGCUUCGAAAAAUGAUAAAGUCCCGACGUCAACAAGCUGGCCGCCGUGAGAACAAGAGCUACACCGCCGGCGAGCAUCAAGAUCGUCAAGAACAAGACAGCGGCGGGGGAGGAGGUGGAGAGAUAGACAUGAGGUACGGCGUUGAGAAGCGGUUGGUCCCUUCCGGCCCAAACCCUCUCCACAACUAGCUAGAAGAAUCAAACUCCGAGAAUCUCCUAUUUCCCGGUCGAUGGUAAACGACGUCGUAUUAUUAGCCUCAAACAACACUGUCCAUAUUAUUUGUUUCGUUUCGUACUUUUUUUGUCCUUUUCCUUCCAGAAAUCCGGUGCGGCGUCGUUUAUGAUCAACCGCGGUGAACUGAUCUAGCGUAUAGAGAGUAUUAUGAAGAUCACUUGGUUUCUGAUGCUUCUUCCAUUUCUUGUUUGGCUUCGCAAAGAUAUUAAUUAAAUUGUUUUUUUUAUAUAAUUAAUAUAUUUUUAUCAGGGGGAAAUUCAAAUGGUGGUGGAAUUUAAUUAUUAUUAUUAUUAUUAUAUAUAUAUAUAUGGGUUCAAGAGAUACUCAUGAAUUUCAUUAAUUUGUCGGCUGGCUCCCCCUUAAUUCUCUUUUAUUUUUUGUUGCCCUUAUUCCAUGGUAUGCAUGUGUGCAUUAAAUUUGCCGACUUCAGUAGUAAGUUUGUCACCUUCACCGUAUUUACUUCCUCCUUCAACCUCCCUAUUCUCCGACUCUUUCUGUCCAUCAAGCUAAGUGUACGUACACACAUAUAUACAGUCGCCCAUGCAUGUGGGAGGUGUGUAACCGAUUGAUGGUAAUUUGGUGUCACGAGUUACCACCUAGAUCAUUUGACGGUUAACAUGAUCGUGGCAGUAAGCAUUUCGUGAUGUAUAAUAUAUAAUCGAAGGUUAGCAAAUAUGUAUUCCGUUAGUUCAAAAAUUGAACAAGCAUAUAUCCCACGUGCCAUACUCUUUUCAUUCCACCGUUUAAUUAAUAGUAGUUAGACCACUAAUUAUAGUACUAUAAUAAAUAUUGCACCUGCCACUUGGUGAUUAACCGUUUACCUUAACGACCAUAUGGUCAAAUUUUUAUCAUAUUUCGGUUAUGAUUUGUUUUCCAAUAAUGUAGUUUCGAUGGUUGGGGAUAAUAAGAUGUCAAGAUAGAAAAGCGAGUACAAACUAAGUAUAUAUAUACCAACCCAAGUAUAUUUUUAUUUGAUAGAUAUCUAAUUAAGAGUUUAUCUUACUUUAAAGUACUCUGACACUUUAUUUUGUUCAAUUAGUGAAGAAAUUCAAGCCCUCGAAGAAAGUAGUAAGCUCAACCAAUAUUGCUUCAUCCGACAAGUAGCUGACUAGCUUAGACCACCACCGAGAGACUACUAACUUUGUAUUAUCUUUUACUAUCCACUAGAACCUAACCAGAUACGAAGAGCACAAACGACAAGUAAGAAAAAAAUUUCAAUACAAAUCACAUAAUAUGGGAGGCUAUUUGAAUUCUGAACUAUCAAUUUAAUAACGGCACAAUAUAAAGAAAGAACCACCCUCACAACUCGUUCCACCCCACCCACAUGUUUAUAAUUGCAAAAAGAUUAUGAAUGUUAAUUGUAACACAACUCAUGUCAAUAAGUGGCUAACAAGUAACAAAGAAAAGGAUACAAAAUAUGUGGAAAACAAAAUAAAAAAGUAUUCAAAUCUAAAAUCUUUUUGUAAAAAAAAAAAAGUAUUCAAAUGCUAUUUGAUUCUCACUAGUAGCAGACAGUUGAUCGGAUCUUCCUCUGGGAAAGACCACCAAAAAAAUGGCGCGUCAUCUCCUUCUCUUCCUCCUCAUCGGUCUCCUCCACACUAUCGCCCUCUCGAAAACCCUCAAACGCGACGGUAAAUGACUGAAUUCACCAGAUCUGACCUCCUCCGCCGCGGCGGAUUGAACGGAUAUAAACUGAUUUCAUUUCGAUGCAGUGAAGGCACUGAACGAGAUCAAGUCGUCACUGGGAUGGAGAGUUGUGUACGCCUGGGUAGGAGACGACCCUUGCGGCGGCGACGGCCUCCAGCCUUGGUCCGGCGUCACCUGCUCCACUCAGGGAGAUUACAGAGUCGUCACCGAAUUGUAAAGUUUGUGAACAGUGUAUACCUUAAGUUCUUCCCGCCUAUGGGGUUUGAAUGGUGAGUGAUUGAUGCUUUUGUUUUGUAUUGGUAGGGAAGUGUAUGCAGUGUCGAUUGUCGGUCCAUUUCCUACUGCGGUGACGAAUCUGCUGGAUCUCACCAGAUUGUGAGGCUCCUUCUUGCCUUUGCAUUUUCACUUCAUUGUAUUAGAGUUUAUGUUUUCUGAAUGUUUGAUGCUGAAUAGGGAUUUUCAUAAUAACAAGCUGACAGGGCCGAUCCCUCCUCAAAUUGGGAGGUUGAAGCGUCUCAAGAUACUGUAUAGCCCCUUGCCUUGCUUGAUUGCUUUCUGUUUUUAGCCAGUUUUGAUUGGAUUCAUGGUGUGAAGUUGUGUUUCUAUCUUAGGAAUUUGAGGUGGAACAAGUUGCAAGAUUCACUUCCUCCUGAAAUCGGCGAGCUUAAGAGUUUGACACAUUUGUGAGUUGAUCAUUCAUUCGUUUGACACAAUAAUGUGAUUGUUUACGCCGAUUUCAAGUUGAUGUUAAUAUGGAAAAUGUUGUUGGAAGGUAUUUGAGCUUCAAUAAUUUCAAAGGAGAGAUUCCAAGGGAGCUAGCUAAUCUUCCCGAGCUUCGAUAUCUGUACUUGCAAGAGAAUAGGUUCUCGGGGAGAGUUCCUGCAGAAUUGGGAACGUUGCAGAAUCUUCGCCACUUGUAUGUAGUAACCAUCCCAUCUUCUCUGUUGAUUCUUGCUGUGUUAUGGCCUAGGGGUGUAGCCCUUUUAUCCAGUUUUCGGUAUGUGUAGGGAUGUUGGCAACAAUCAUUUGGUGGGUACUAUAAGAGAACUAAUCCGGAUUGAGGGUUGUUUCCCUGCGCUUCGCAACUUGUAAGUUCAUUUCAUCCUCACCAUGGGGAGCCUGUGAGUUGCUAAUGUGAGAUUAUUUAACGUGACUGAUUGCAUUUGUGUUCUUGUUUCUCUAGCUAUCUGAACAAUAAUUAUUUUACCGGAGGAGUCCCUACGCAGCUAGCUAACUUGACAAACUUAGAAAUCUUGUAAGCUUCCGUGCAUUCUUUCCGUUUUCUUUCUUCUGUAAAUUCCUUGAACAAUUCUCUUUCCAUGUCCGCUCUCCCUCAAAGAUUAUCUUCAAGUUCUAUGUGUCCUGUUUUCUCUUACCUUAAUACGUUUCUGGCAGGCACCUAUCCUAUAACAAGAUGACUGGAGUAAUACCCAUUGGACUUGCUUCCAUCCCGAAGUUGACAUAUCUGUAAGUUUCUUCAACGAGUUUUAGUUCCUUCAUUUCCAUCAGAUUACCGUUUGAGAUCACUGAAUCUAUAACACUUACAGGUACAUCGAAGGAAGCUCGUUCAAGCCUGGCGUAAAUCCAAUAGGCAUGCACAAAGUCUUCGAAGUAUCUGAUGCAGAUUUUGUAGUUUAAAAACCCUUAGCUAAUUUUUUGUACUCUAAUUUAUUUCACACUUUCUCUGUUACAAGCCUAUACAUAGAGAGAGUUGAUGCUGUUAAAUGUAUGGAACACAACCCAAAAUCAUGCUAAAAGCCAUUGUCUAGUAGUUCUCAUCAAUGUUUUGAAUAUAGCACCUGAAGGUUCGGUCGGUUCUAGCAUCGUUCAAUUAGGGUUUAUAAUAGUUUGAACAAUCGAACUGCAUACGGUUAGUUUUAGUGAUACUAUCUUCGGUAUGGUUCUGGAGAUCAUUGUUCUAACUGCUAAUCCUUCAUUCAUUGUGCUAAGCUUUCACAUUUCAUGAUAUGGAACUGUUCGUAAAACCACAAAUUUUACCAUCGUUUUAAAAAAUCGCACCGAAAUGGAUAGUUUGACUUGUCUGAUCUUAAACCGCUCAUAAAAAUAGUCUGGCACGAUCCAGAUAUAUCAAAGUUAAAGACUUUAAUUUGUAACCUAUUAAAUGGUUGAACCACAUUUGAAAAACGUUCUUUCCAACCCAAUCCAAAUUCCUAAAGCAUCCUAAUAUACAAAAUUAAAUGAUAAUAUUCCUUGAAAUAAACUUAAGUGGCCGCUUUAAUUACCAUCCAAUAGUUAAGUAUAGUUAAUUUAUGAUUAGAUAAAUCAAACCAGGCCGUUAUUUCAGUUCUGUUUCUUGUCGGGUUUUCUAAUCACUUGUCCAUUUUUAACUAACCUCCAUUUUCUUUUCAGAUUUUCUCCCUUUCAUUUCUUCUUCUUCUUUCCUCUUCAGGCUUCGUGUUCCUCCACAGAGCCUAACAGGAACGAGGAAUGUGAUCUCAUCAAAAUUAAAUUUUCAGAUUUAUCAAAACUACGAUGUCGAGUUUCAAUGUUCUUCUCCUUCUCUGUUCAAUCAUCCUAUCAAGUUUCUUCACCCUAUCGUACUCUGAUCAUCCUCACUAUGAAGAUGUCCACCAUGCUCACCACAAGAUGAAGGACCCGGAUGAAAUCACCGUCACGAUCAAAUCAGGCGCCGCUGUAUCCCACACUGCCGACGACUACGUCUGCGCAACUCUCGAUUGGUGGAGGAAAGACAAAUGCGAUUACCGACACUGCCCGUGGGGAAACGCUGGAAUUCUUGAUGUGGUAAUGUGUUUGUAACGGAAAUGUCUUUAUUAUUGGGUGAUCUUCGGGAACUGAUUCGUUGAUUUUGGUUUGAAUCAUGCAGGAUCUUAACAAUACACUUUUGGCCAAAGCUAUCAAGGGUAAGUAAAAAGUUCUGGGAUUUUUUUUCAGUCACCUUUAAGAUGUUCGAUGAAAUGCCUCAAUGAGGAAAUAAUUGCCCAUUUUUUAUGUGUUGUGUGUAGCGUUUGAUCCGUUGAGGCUUAGAGUGGGAGGAUCAUUGCAGGAUCUGGUGACUUAUGAAGUUGGAGGAGCUGUCGGUAUUCAUCCCAGCUUCGUGAAGGACAAAGAUGUGAUGCUUGGGUUCAAACCGGGGUCUCUUCCCAUGAAAAGAUGGGACGAGCUUAAUGAAUUCUUCGCUAAAACUAAGUGAGUUGUUCAUAAAUUAGAAAACUAUAAGUAAUUUUCUUUCUCUACCUAACCAAGUUGAUUGCUUUUGUUUGUAGUACCAAAGUAAUUUUUGGUUUGAAUGAGCUCUCUGGCAAGAAAAAGGAAAACCCGUCGACGACUCAAAUGGUAGGAGACUGGGACCCUACUAAUGCUCGCGAUUUCAUGAACUACACUGUUCAAAAGGGAUACAAGAUUGAUGCCUAUGAAUUGGGUACGUCUUCAUCAUAAAAGUAUUAAAAACUAUGAUCUUCUAUUGAUGGGUGAUGACAUUGAUUGAUUGCUCACAUCUUUUUAUAGGAAAUGAGUUGUGUGGUGAUGGAGUAGAUGCUAAGAUAGAUCCGGAGCAGUAUGCAAAAGAUACUAAAGAGCUAAGGAAAGUCUUGAAUGAAUUGUACCCGGAUCCUAAGUCCAGGCCCCAAGUUCUGGCUCCUGGAGGUUUCUUUUUCAAGGAAUGGUUCAAAACCUACCUUCAUGCUUGCGGACCAAACGUUAUCGAUGGCGUAACCCACCAUGUCUACAAUCUUGGAACUGGUAAAAUUUUCGAAAUUGUUAGCUCUUAGAGUGUUUGAUAUCCAAUGGUUGCUUUGGCUGGACCAUUGAUUGUGAAAGUUUGUGCCUUUUCUUUAUCAGUGCUUUAUACCCAUCUGUUUCUGUAUUCAUUAAACACCAACCUUUGAAAAUUUCCAGGUGGUGAUCCGAAGAUAAUAGACAGGAUUCAAGAUCCACAUUUCCUGAGCGAGGUAGUUCAGCUGUACAGGGACGUUCAGGAAGUAGCGGAGCAGUCUGGAUCAGGAGCAUCUCCUUGGGUCGGAGAGGGAGGCGGAGCUUACCUAAGCGGUGGUAUAAAUGUUCAAUCCACUUUCGUUGAUGGAUACUGGUACUUGGAUCAGCUUGGCUUGGCCGCAGUUCACAGCCAUAAGGCCUACUGCAGACAAGCCAUUGUUGGUGGAAACUACGGCUUCCUCAAAAACGACGUCUUUACCCCUAACCCUGAUUACUAUGGGUACCUUAACAUUUCGAUAGUAUCUUCAUAGAUCUUUCAACCUUAUUUGAGCUUUAGACUCACUUUCACAUUCUGCAUUUUGAUAAUCAGUGCACUAUUAUGGCAUCGGUUGAUGGGGACCGGAGUUCUAGCAACCAGCCACAACGGAUCUCCAUUCCUUAGGGCAUAUUCACAUUGCUCUAAGAAGAAGGUAUUGAUAUCUAAAGCCAGUUUUUCAACAUUCAAAUAUCUGCGUCUAACCAUUAGAAAAAUCCUGACAAGACAUUGUUUCUGGGUUUUGCUUUCUUUUUGGGCAGUCUGGAGUUACUCUGAUGCUGAUCAACAUGUCGAAAACUUCGACAUUCCAUAUCAUGAUCACCGACGAAUUGAACAACCACCACAAGGAUUCUGAUUCAAGCCAUCUCAAAGAGGAAAGAGAGGAGUACCAUUUGACACCAGAAGGAGGAAAUAUCACGAGCGAUGUCGUUCUUCUGAACGGAGUUCCGUUGCAGCUUACAGCUUCCGGUGACAUCCCGGAAAUGCCUCCGAAGCUUGCCCCAGCUUCAUCUCCGGUGACAAUGGUUCCUGGCUCUUUUGUUUAUGUAUCCAUUAAGGAUUUCAAGGCCCCUGCCUGCUGAGAAAGACCAGAGCUUUUUGGUCUCUUUUUGGAUUUCUUGGUUCCUUAUAAAAGGUGGUAAAGAAAACUUGAUCUACAAGUUAACUUCCAUUUUGUAACCUAAGGUCUCUGAUGAGGUUAAUCUAAUGGAAUAGAAAAAUAUUCUUUAAUUAAUAUAUAUUAUUGUAUAAAAUUCAUUAAGCAUGCUUACAUUUGUUAUUUAUUGAGUAAUUAUCAAUGAUAAUGUUGGAUAAUCUUUUUCACUUAAAAACCUGAUAUCACUCAAGGUAACUAAAAAUCUUAUCCACCUGAUUCACUUUUACAUUCCGUUUCAACAAAGUCCGACAAAAUCAUAGGCUUAUCCAAAUAACAGAUUUCAUAGCAAACAAUAACAAUAAAAUCUCUUGCUGAGCUAUAUAUAUAUCCACUGUACACACACACUUAGUUUUCUUCAAUACUCUGUGUUUCCUUUUCUGAUUCUACAAUGGCAGCAGCUUUCAGAGCUUUCCUCGUCUACUCACUCUUCCGCUCGACCCUCUCAGUGCUAUGCUCCGCUGACACUUCUAGGAUCACCGUCACGAUACAGUCAGUGAACUCCAUAGCGAAAACCGACAAUGAUUUCAUCUGUGCAACUCUAGAUUGGUGGCCCAAGAACAAGUGUGACUACAACCAGUGCCCUUGGGGACAAACCAGCGCCCUGAAUCUGGUAUAUAUGCCGGCUGUUCAUUUCCUUUUCGGUUGUUCUUAAUUGGGUUUUCGGUUCUGAUUAAUGGGUUUUGGUUGAAAACAUAUUUCAGGAUCUGAAGAACACCAAUCUGGCAACAGCUAUCAAAGGUAGGUAGAAAGUUCAUUGCUUUGAAAGCUUCCUUCAUCAAAGCUGUGAUCUAAUUAAUGUUGGUUUGUAGCUUUCGAUCCGUUGAGGAUUCGGGUUGGGGGGUCGUUGGAGGAUCUGGUGGUUUACAAAGUUGGGAAAGCGAUCAAGAGAUUCCCAAAGUUUAAGAAGCUGAAAGGUGGGAUGUUUGGGUUCAGCAGAGGUACUCUCACCAUGGAUAGAUGGGAUCAGCUCAAUCAGCUUUUCACCAAAACAAAGUAAUUAAGUUCAUACUAAUAAUCCGACUGUUAGUUACCAAAAAUGACGAAUCAUAUUAAAUCUGACGGUUUUUUACGAUUUCGUUGUAGUGCCAAAGUCAUCUUUGGCCUCAAUGCUCUGGUUGGGAAAAGAAAGAAAGAUGAAUCUUCCACUCUCUGGAUCGGAGACUGGAACUCGCAGAAUGCUCGAGAUUUCAUGAACUAUACCGUUCAGAAGGGCUAUAAAAUCGACUCUUACGAACUCGGUAGUUCUCUGAAACGAUUCUUGUACAGAUCAGUUUUUUUCUUCUUGUACUAUCAAACCUCGAACCGUUUAACAUUACUUUUUUGUCAGGAAAUGAGCUGAGCGGCUCGGGGGUUUCUGCUCGGGUGGAACCUGAGCAGUAUGCAAAGGACACAAUCAAAGUCAGGAAAGCUGUAAAUGAAUUAUAUCCAGAUCCCAAUUCCAGGCCUUUAGUAUUGGGUCCUGCCGGAUUCUUCGAUAAGGAAUGGUUCAAGAAGUACCUUCAAGCUGUUGGACCGAACGUUGUCGAUGGCGUAACCCACCACAUUUACAAUCUCGGCGCAGGUAAAAACGUUACGUACCUUCAGGAAUUAGUAUCGGCCUAUCGGGUUCAUAUCAUUAAUUACUGUUUUGCAGGAGUGGAUUCCAAGCUGAUUAAUAAGGUUCAAGAUCCGUUCUUUCUCGACAAAGUGGCUCAGACGUUCAAGGAAGUUCAGGAUAUUGUCGAGCAAUCCGGAACCGCUGCAGCUCCGUGGGUCGGGGAAUCGGGUGGAGCUUUCAACAGCGGUGGAAAGGACGUUUCAAACACUUUCGCUAAUGGGUUCUGGUACUUGGAUCAGCUCGGUAUGACCUCGACUUUCGGCCACAAGGCUUACUGCAGACAAUCCCUUGUUGGUGGAAACUAUGGAUUGCUUAGGAGUGAUAGUUUCACUCCAAAUCCCGACUAUUAUGGGUAACACAAAAAAGAUUCCGUCUUUUUGUUUUGUUUUUAUCUCGUAACUGUUGCUCUGAAUGUUCGGAUCGUUUGCUUUGUGAUAGUGCACUUUUGUGGCAUCGGUUGAUGGGGACCAUAGUGUUGAGAACGAUCCAUGACGGGUCUCCAUACCUGCGGGCAUACUCACAUUGCUCCAAGAAAAAUGUAAAGUAUCUUCAGGAUUUCUGAUAAUCCAAAUCCGGACAGGAAUAUGAUUUCUGAUUAUCUACAUUUUUUUUUAAUUUGUGGCAGUUUGGAGUGACUUUGCUGCUGAUCAACAUGUCGAAUUCGACGACAUUCAACGUUUGGGUGACUAACGAUCUGAACCUUUACCGGACAACGACCGAUUCGACCAUUCUGACAGAGGAUAGGGAAGAGUACCAUCUGACACCUGAAGGUGGGAAUAUUCAGAGCGAUGUUGUGCAGCUGAACGGGACUCCAUUGAAGCUGAGUUGUGGUGAGAUUCCGAUGAUGGAUCCGAAGCUCGUACCGGCUUCGUCCACGGUGACUGUUGCUCCGGAUUCGUUCGUUUAUGUCAACAUCAAGGAUUUCAAGGCACCUGCUUGCUAGAAAAGAAACAGAAGAGGAUAUGCUUUUCUUUUAGUUUAGUAGUUAGGAAAAGCUCAGGAAAAAUUGUUAGAUUAGAUCUAAUCGGCUAUGUAAAGAAUAAUCAUGAUCCAAUUGAAAUCGAAAAAUUGUUAGAGAUUCAAUUCCAUUCUUUUGUGAUGUUGUUGUUUUGGUCUUCUUCUGAAAGUUGGGUAAAGGGCAACUGUGCGAAAAGUUGUGAUUUUAAAAAACCAAAGAAAACAUGUUGGUUUAGUGGAUCGGACAUGUGUUGGGUCUGGUUAGUGAACUUGUGCUUAUGUUCUUAGAUUAGUCGCUAUGCAUGGUUGAACCAUUCUAUCAUGGUUCGAACACAUAGUAAAAUAAGUUAAAAGCAAUAACGGUCACUUAAGUUUGGGUUAGGUGACAUUUUUGUCACUCAAUAUAAGGCAGGUAACAUUUUCGUCACUCUAGUUUGAGGUAGGUAACAUUUCAAUCACUUAACUUUUUGCUUAAGUUUGGGAUAGGUAACAUUUGAGUGACUUUAGUUUGAGGUAAGUAACAUGUCAUUCAACUUUUUGCUCAAAUUUGAGGUAAGUAAUAUUUUCGUCACUCAAUAUAAAGCAUGUAACAUUUCAGUCACUCUAGUUUGAGGUAGGUAACAUUUCAGUCACUCUAGUUUGAGGUAGAUAACAUUUCAGUCACUCAACUUUUUGGUCAAGUUUUACAUUUCAGUCACUCAAUAUAAGGCAGGUGACAUUUCAGCCACUAUAGUUUGAGAUAGGUAGCAUUUCAGUCACUAAACUUUGUUUCUCAACUUCUGUUACAUAUUCCACCCAAAAAGUUAAUGUGACUAAAAGACUCAAUUUCUGUGUUUAUUUCAUCAGACCGAAUAGGAUACAUGGUUGAACCGUCUUAUUAUAGUCGAUAAAAAUUCAACCCCGGCUUGGUAAAAAAAAUGAAAAAAAUCAUCACUAUUUCAUUUAGGAAGAAGAGAAAAAACCAUGCUAACCCUGUUGUUCAAUCAAUAGGAUACCUUACCAUUUCAGGAACCAGUUAAUGUCACACACCAAACAUUCCUGAAACUGAAACCAAAAGCUUUCCAGGCUUUUGCCUCCAUUCUAUCCAAAAACCCAAAGGGCAAAGAAAAUGCUUUCUUUACUUGCUAGUUGAACCUAAUCCAUCCUUUAUGAAAUGUUUUCAGGCUCCAUCUUCAAAUAACCGAACCCCUUCCGUUAGAAAUCGACAGACAAUAAACGGAAUAAGAAAAAAACCACCAUCUCUUUUCGCAACAAAAUCGAUAAAAGAUUGUUUACAAUUCCAUGGGGAUUGAGCAAGCCAUUGCAGUAGCUGCAGCUGCAUUAGCCAUUUCUGUUAUUGAAGAAGUACAAGAAGAGGCAUGGAUUCCGGUUCCAGAGCCAAAAAGGACAUUGCAGGAAGCAGCAUCUCAUCAAUCCUCUGCCACCAAGAGUCAAGGUAUGCAAGGUGGUUUCCAAUCAAGUUCUGGAUCAAUAAGGUAUGUGGAAGGGGCCUCAUCAGAUAGCAAUGGAGAUGAUGGAACAACACCCCGAAAGGUCCUUGUUCCGAUUUCUUCGAUGGCUAGGACUGAUAAUCCUGCUGCAGCAGCAAUGAAGAAAGAUCCAAGCUUUAAUGAAACCCCUACUGUUUCAUCUAUAAAGAAGACACCUUCAUUUGUGGAUAAAACUGUUCCUAAUUCCAUGCCAACUUCCACCAAAGCUGGGAUUCCAUUGAAGAGACCUGAAGCUUCUUCUACUGCAAAACCUGCUGCAACUGGUAAGCCAGCUGGAACCCCAGUAUCUUCUUCCCAAGCAGCAGAUGCAUGGGAGAAAAUGCAGCUGGAGAAGCUGAAAGCGAAGUAUAAGCAGCAGACUGAUCACAUCAUUUCGUGGGAGGACGGGAGGAAGGCUAAAGCAAGGCGUCGACUCGACAGAGCUGAGGUUUGUUUUCUCCAUUACAUCCAAAUAAUUCGAACUAACAGAUUGUCUGAUAACAUGCUUGUUUCUUCUUCGUGUUGGAUGAACUUUUGGGCAGAGUGAAAUGGAGAGGAGCAGGCUGAGAGCAUUGGACAAGUUUCGGGGGGACAUGGAGAUAGUGAAUAAGAUUGCAGGAGGAGCAAAGGCGAAGACAGCUGAGAGGAUGAAGAAGGAAGAGGUUAAAUUGAAGGAGAAAGCUGAUGCUAUCAGAAGAACAAGUGGCAAAUUCCCAGCAAGAAGGCCUUGUUUAUGCAUCUGAUCAUAUUAUGUUUGACUAAUAAUCUGUUGUAAUAUAAUGUUUGUAGCACUUUGUUGUGUUCAGGAAAUGUGUAUGCAUCUGAACAUCCGAAAUUAACUCCAAAUCCUGCCAAAUUCACCUCCAAUUCCGACUUCGAAAACGUAUCCUAUGUCUAUAAUCAGUUCGAAAUGCCAGAUCCAGUAAUGAAAUGAAGAUAAACACCCUUCUGCAUAUAUAUAAUUAAGAACACUCCGACAGAUAAACCAGACACAAAUUACAUUACUACAACAGCAACAACACACCGAUCAUAAAGUUAAUUAAACUCCACAUAAUCCAUACUUAUAUUCCCCCACCAAUCCACCAUACACCUUAAUUAAUUAAGUUAUUAAUCACUUGAAGAACCCUUCAGCCAUCUUAGCAUACCCGCCAAGCCCACCUCCUUCAGAUUUCUCCUCCUUACCGGCGGCGCCUUCCUCGGCCGGCUUGCCGGCUCCCUCAGCGGUCUUCGAACCGCCGCUGUACUGACGGAGAUAUUCCUCCGCCUUGUCGACGUACUGGCCAUAGCCCUUCUCGUCCAGCUUCCCGUACUUGUUGCCGGCCUCGAUCAGGUCCUCCGCCGCGUCGGCCACCUUGGCCUUGUCUAUGCCGUCGGCCGAUUUGCUCUGCAUCGCCGACUGGGCAGCUGCCGCCACCACUUUUGCGCUCGCCAUCAGCUCCGCGUUCGACGGCGCCGCUACCUCUUCCUUCUUGUCGCCGGCCGGGGCCGGGGUCGGUGCUGAGGGGUGUUCAGUUUCCUUGUCGCCACCGGUGGCUCCGGGGAGCUUGGACUCGGCUGCCUUGGUGAUGGAGGAAAGUAGGCCGUCCAUAAUUAAUUCUAGAUGCCAAAGGAGAAAGAAAUUAAAGCAGAGAGAUUUGUGGGAAGUGACUGAGUGAUUGGAGAUUGGAGGAUACGGUGGUUUAUAUAAUGCUUAGGAUAUUUUUGGAUAUCUUGAUUUUUUUUUAUAAAUACGCGAGAUGGACACGUAUUACUUGUGAUAUACGUGUGUACUUGUAUUUUAUACAGUAAUAUACGUGUUGUUUGAGUCUAAAACCUCUCGACGAAUUAAAUCGCUCAUGAAUAGUUGUAUUUGAUGUGAAAUUUUUUUGUUCAUGAUGAGUCGGGUAUGUUUAAUCAAAUAGGUUUGAGUUCGAACAGAAAUAAUUUUGGAUAUAUGCUUUGUUAAUAAAUUUAAUAAUGUAAUGUAUGUUUGCCUCGAAUAUUAUAUAUAUAUAUAUAUAAUUUAUUAUUAUGUNNNNNNNNNNNNNNNNNNNNNNNNNNNNNNNNNNNNNNNNNNNNNNNNNNNNNNNNNNNNNNNNNNNNNUCGAUCGAUUCGUGAUCAGCCCGGCUAAUCACAAAAAAAGCUAUACCAUUUUUACAAAUUAAAAAAAACUAUUAUAUUAGUUAAUAUUGGAGUAGGGAGUGUUUGGCAGGAGUAAGAGUUGCGACGUGGAAGAAUGAUGGCCACAAGAAGUUUAGAAAGGUGGUGACUAUUGAGUAUAAAAGUAUUAUCUUCCUGCUGUUCCAAUAUCUAGAUAUCUUUAUGACAAAAAAUGGGACCAGAAAACACGAUAAUUGUUUUUAUUUGCCGACAAUAACUCUCCAAGUACUCAACUCCGUGAUUAAUACACACCAAUUCAAUUAUAUUUUAAGAAGUUAAUUUGAUGUGCCAAUUAUCGAUACAAAAAAGAGACAUUCUGGUGCACAGUAGAAACUAUUCAGGUGGUUUGUUUAGUUUUGUAAAGAAAUUAUUAUGAACAAAUUCAUGGUUAGAUCCCUUAUGGAUAGUGGAUAGAUCAUUGAGAUUUUUGAAAGAGAAUUUGCAUCAUGUUCCGUGAGUAAUACACAUCGAUAUUUAUCAAUAUAAAAUAAAAAAAUAGAAAGUAAACAUUAUAUUGGUGUUUAUUUUGUGAAUUGUGUUGGAUUAGAAUUAAAAACUUUUAAAUUAUCACACACAUAAUUUUACCAUCAGAAUAAUUCCACUUCAAUACAUUGUAGUUGUUACGGUAAGGUUAAGUAAAAAUGAAAACCAAACUCUUAAUUUUAAUUUAAUCAUAUAGUUAAAGAAUUUCCAAAUAAGAAUAUGAACAAAAAUGUAAACAUCUAAUUCUAGCUAUUAUUCAAUUCCCAAAGCCACGUUACACAACAACACCAUCACAUGACUAACCACAAACAUAAACAGAAAAGAACCAGAUAGAAAAACAACAAGUACAACUGCAACAUAAUUAAUUAACACGCAGAUUUUUCAGCGGCGGGGAAUUAAACUAAAAUAAAAAAACAUGCAUAAUUAUUUUCAAUUUUCAUCCAUUUACUUCUUGGCAGUGGCGUUGUGGAUGGCCUGCUUCCCCUGCUCGACGUAGUGGGUGGUGCCGGCGACGACUGUGUCCUUAACGCCGAUCGCCCCCUCCUUGGUGUUGGCCACGAUCCCCGGGCCGGCCGGUGCAACCACGGCUGGCUUCUUCUCCUCGGCCUUGCCGCCGCCGGGCAUCAUGUCUUGGGCUUUCUUCAAUAGUCCGUCCAUAUCUAGUUAUAAACAAGUAGGAUUCAAAGAGAUGGGAAAUUGGUACGUAAGAGAUUUUAGUGUGUUUUGAUGGGUUUCAUGGGAUAUAUGGUACGUACUAGUUAUAUAGUGGUACAAAUUUUGGGAAGUUUGGAAGAUAUUUUGAUUGGCUUUUGCUGUGUGUGGCUUACAAUUGGCUUGCCGACAUCGAAAUGAACAGGUUCUACGUGAUAGUCUUUACA
rnacentral:lncRNA from 1 species